rnacentral:rRNA from 1 species
AUUGAACGCUGGCGGCAGGCUUAACACAUGCAAGUCGAGCGGGGUGAUGGUGCUUGCACUAUCACUUAGCGGCGGACGGGUGAGUAAUGCUUAGGAAUCUGCCUAUUAGUGGGGGACAACAUCUCGAAAGGGAUGCUAAUACCGCAUACGUCCUACGUGAGAAAGCAGGGGAUCACUUGUGACCUUGCGCUAAUAGAUGAGCCUAAGUCGGAGUAGCUAGUUGGUGGGGUAAAGGCCUACCAAGGCGACGAUCUGUAGCGGGUCUGAGAGGAUGAUCCGCCACACUGGGACUGAGACACGGCCCAGACUCCUACGGGAGGCAGCAGUGGGGAAUAUUGGAAAAUGGGGGGAACCCUGAUCCAGCCAUGCCGCGUGUGUGAAGAAGGCCUUAUGGUUGUAAAGCACUUUAAGCGAGGAGGAGGCUCUUUUGGUUAAUACCCAAGAUGAGUGGACGUUACUCGCAGAAUAAGCACCGGCUAACUCUGUGCCAGCAGCCGCCGUAA